rnacentral:rRNA from 1 species
GAUGAACGCUAGCGGCAGGCUUAACACAUGCAAGUCGAGGGGCAGCAUGAAGGUUAGCAAUAACCUUUGAUGGCGACCGGCGCAAGGGUGCGUAACGCGUGAGCAACUUGCCCGUUUCUGGGGGAUAACCGGUGGAAACGCCGACUAAUAUCCCAUAGUAUUGGUUUUAGGCAUCUAUUUCCAAUUAAAGAAUUUCGGAAACGGAUAGGCUCGCGUGACAUUAGCUAGAUGGCGGGGUAACGCCCACCAUGGCUACGAUGUCUAGGGGUUCUGAGAGGAAGGUCCCCCACACUGGAACUGAGACACGGUCCAG